UACGCAGGGGGCUAGCGUUGCUCGGAAUCACUGGGCGUAAAGCGCACGUAGGCGGAUUGCUAAGUCAGGGGUGAAAUCCUGGAGCUCAACUCCAGAACUGCCUUUGAUACUGAGAAGCUUGAGUCCGGGAGAGGUGAGUGGAACUGCGAGUGUAGAGGUGAAAUUCGUAGAUAUUCGCAAGAACACCAGUGGCGAAGGCGGCUCACUGGCCCGGUACUGACGUUGAGGUGCGAAAGCGUGGGGAGCAAACAGG
rnacentral:rRNA from 1 species